UCAUUGCUUCAUGCAUAGAGUACUCAAAAGAUAUUCUGCUGAGAUCUUAAAAUAUACUUCAAAUGUUAAAAACUUUCCCUCUUUAUUACCCCACAUCCGGCCUCAUUGCCACCGGCGGAGCCAACGCCAUCGCUGUUGCAGAUUCUGUUUCGUUAUGUUCUUCAUUUCACCACUUUCGUCCCCAACUCCAUCUCCGUUGGAGCUCCUAUUUCAUUAUGUUAUUCAUUUCGCCACCUUCGUCCCCAACUCCACCGUUGUUGCAUCUUCUGUCCGGUUCUGUUCAGCACGGAAAGAAGUUCCACAUUGCCGUCCCAAAAAGGUGAUUUAUACUCCUUGCAGAUUUGUUCUGCUGUCGUUAACAUUUCAUCAUUCCACACUCGAUUUCAUAAUACAAAUCCACCAUUAUUUGUACCUGAUCAGAUUAUUUUGUCACGUCAAGGUUAACCCUGAUGUAAUGUAAGUGUAAAUCUACUAGAUUAUUUUGUGAAAAUUAGUUUUACGAUGCUUUGAUACAUGAUUUUUUUAUGAAAGCUGGGCAACUUGAAUCUGCUUCGAUUCUUCACUCACGAGCAAAACAGAUUUGCUCGAUUUUGUAUCCUGGUGAUGCCACAAAAGGUGGGAUACUCCUACGGCUGAAGCAACAGUACUUUCUCUGCAGUUCAUCGCUUCGUGAUACGAUGUCUCGAAUACCUGUUCAUCAUGGGGAAGAACUCUGAUGGAUGUCCCAAGAAGUAUGUGGGUAUGUUGAAGAAGUAUUAAAUAGUUUAGUUGCUAAUGUACCAAAGGAAAUUAUUCUUGGCCAAGUUGAAAAAGCUAAGGAAGACAUGUUGAAUCAAUUAUAUACCUCUAUCAGGUACAAGAGCUUACUAAGUUAUUGGUAGAGUUAUGGGAGCUUAUGGAAAUUCCAAUUGAUGAGAAAUAAGCAUUUAGCCAUAUUACUAGAUUAAUUUCAGCAUCAAUUGACAAAGUAUCAAUUCGAGGAUGACUUUUUGUUUGAUGUCAUUAAGCAAGUGUGAAACUUUCAAUGAGUUCAUAUGGAUGUGGAUAAUAAAGUUGUUAAACAAAUUAUGACUAGCCGCAUAGAAUUUGGUACAUAAAUUAUAUCUAAAGUAUUAUUAAAAAAAUUUCUUAAAAUAUU